rnacentral:rRNA from 1 species
UCCCGUCCUGCUCGGAUCUAUCCAUUCUAGUUCUACCGGAGAGUCGGGUUGCUCGGGAUUGCAGCCUGAAUGGGAGGUAAAUUUCUCCUAAAGCUAAAUACUGGCGAGAGACCGAUAGCGAACAAGUACCGUGAGGGAAAGAUGCAAAGAACUUUGAAAAGAGAGUUAAAAAGUACCUGAACUUGUUGGGGGGAAAGCGUUUGCUCCCAGUGUGUCCGCGCCGAUUCAGCCCGUAAGGGUGCACUUCUGCGUGGGCGGUCAGGGUGGAUUUGGCGCGGCGUUGUCGGCCCCCGCAAGGUCUUCGGGCACCCGGGUGGUCUGGCGUCGCUCUGGAUCGAGGCUCGCUCUGCGUCGCUGUCGGCUGAUCGUUUGCCCGUCUCACAAGCAACUUGUGCUCGGGGUGCGUGACUCCUUAGGCGUCUCGUAGCGUGACCCUGACGAAAUGGUGGCAACCGACCCGUCUAGAAACACGGACCAAGGAGUCUGACGACUGCGCGAGUCUUCGGGUGGCAACCCCGUGGGCGUAAUGAAAGUGAGAGAUGCUCAGCAUCGACCGACCGUGAUCUCCUGUGAAUGGUUUGAGUAUGAGCGUGGUCGCCGGGACCCGAAAGAUGGUGAACUAUGCCUGAGGAGGGUGAAGCCUGAAGAAAUUCAGGUGGAGGCUCGUAGCGAUACUGACGUGCAAAUCGUUCGUCGAACUUGGGUAUAGGGGCGAAAGACUAAUCGAACCAUCUAGUAGCUGGUUCCCUCCGAAGUUUCCCUCAGGAUAGCUGGAGCUCUUGAUUCAGUUUUGU